GCACCCGCACAAGCGGUGGAGCAUGCUGUUUAAUUCGAAGAUACGCGAAGAACCUUACCUAGACUUGACAUCCCGGGCAAAGCUAUAGAAAUAUAGUGGAGGUUACCCCGGUGACAGGUGGUGCAUGGUUGUCGUCAGCUCGUGUCGUGAGAUGUUCGGUUAAGUCCGAUAACGAGCGCAACCCUUAUCAUUAGUUACUAACAUUUAGUUGAGGACUCUAAUGAGACUGCCGGUGACAAACCGGAGGAAGGUGGGGAUGACGUCAAAUCAUCAUGCCCCUUACGUCUAGGGCUACAGGCGUGCUACAAUGGCCGGUACAAAAAGAUGCAAUAUGGUGACAUGGAGCAAAAUCUCAAAAAACCGGUCCCAGUUCGGAUUGGAGUCUGCAACUCGACUCCAUGAAGUUGGAAUCGCUAGUAAUCCUGAAUCAGAAUGUCA
rnacentral:rRNA from 1 species